CUUGCUUUUCAUUUAAUCAGUGUGAAAUACUUUUUUCUAAGCUUUACAAUGAGUUUGCUUAAAGUUGCUGUUUUCGCCGCACUAGCUCUGUGUGCUAGCGCUGAGCCUAAACCAAGGCCGGGAGUCCUGGCCGCACCAGUGGCAUACUCAGCUCCUUUAGUACGAUCUCCUUACUACGCUAGAACUUAUGCUGCUCCUGUUGCUUACGCCGCUCCAGUUGCCGCAGCUUACACAGCACCAGUAGCUGCUGCAUAUGCCACUCCAGUUGUUGCUGCUCGUGCUGCUCCAGUGUACGCUGCCCGUGCUGCUCCAGUAUAUGCUGCCCGUGCUG
rnacentral:lncRNA from 1 species